rnacentral:rRNA from 1 species
UACGAAGGGGGCUAGCGUUGUUCGGAUUUACUGGGCGUAAAGCGCACGUAGGCGGAUCGUUAAGUCGGGGGGUGAAAUCCUGGAGCUCAACUCCAGAACUGCCUUCGAUACUGGCGAUCUUGAGUCCGGAAGAGGUGAGUGGAACUCCUAGUGUAGAGGUGGAAUUCGUAGAUAUUAGGAAGAACACCAGUGGCGAAGGCGCUCACUGGUCCGGUACUGAC